rnacentral:rRNA from 1 species
GACGAACGCUGGCGGCGUGCCUAAUACAUGCAAGUUGAGCGCUUAAGGUUGGUACUUGUACCAACUGGAUGAGCAGCGAACGGGUGAGUAACGCGUGGGGAAUCUGCCUUUGAGCGGGGGACAACAUUUGGAAACGAAUGCUAAUACCGCAUAAAAACUUUAAACACAAGUUUUAAGUUUGAAAGAUGCAAUUGCAUCACUCAAAGAUGAUCCCGCGUUGUAUUAGCUAGUUGGUGAGGUAAAGGCUCACCAAGGCGAUGAUACAUAGCCGACCUGAGAGGGUGAUCGGCCACAGUGGGACUGAGACACGGCCCAAACUCCUACGGGAGGCAGCAGUAGGGAAUCUUCGGCAAUGGACGAAAGUCUGACCGAGCAACGCCGCGUGAGUGAAGAAGGUUUUCGGAUCGUAAAACUCUGUUGGUAGAGAAGAACGUUGGUGAGAGUGGAAAGCUCAUCAAGUGACGGUAACUACCCAGAAAGGGACGGCUAACUACGUG